ACAGCCAUAUCCUGUUGAAACACAGGCUCUCGUACGAUCACUGAAGUUAAGCAACGUCGAACCUGGUCAGAACCUAGAUGGGUGACCGCUUGGGAAUAACAGGUACUGG